rnacentral:rRNA from 1 species
AGAGUUUGAUCAUGGCUCAGAACGAACGCUGGCGGCAGGCUUAACACAUGCAAGUCGAACGCCCCGCAAGGGGAGUGGCAGACGGGUGAGUAACGCGUGGGAAUCUACCGUACCCUACGGAAUAACGCAUGGAAACGUGUGCUAAUACCGUAUACGCCCUACGGGGGAAAGAUUUAUCGGGGUAUGAUGAGCCCGCGUUGGAUUAGCUAGUUGGUGGGGUAAAGGCCUACCAAGGCGACGAUCCAUAGCUGGUCUGGGAGGAUGAUCAGCCACAUUGGGACUGAGACACGGCCCAAACUCCUACGGGAGGCAGCAGUGGGGAAUAUUGGACAAUGGGCGCAAGCCUGAUCCAGCCAUGCCGCGUGAGUGAUGAAGGUCUUAGGAUUGUAAAGCUCUUUCACCGAUGAAGAUAAUGACGGUAGUCGGAGAAGAAGCCCCGGCUAACUUCGUGCCAGCAGCCGCGGUAAUACGAAGGGGGCUAGCGUUGUUCGGAAUUACUGGGCGUAAAGCGCACGUAGGCGGAUAUUUAAGUCAGGGGUGAAAUCCCGCAGCUCAACUGCGGAACUGCCUUUGAUACUGGGUAUCUCGAGUAUGGAAGAGGUGAGUAGAAUUCCGAGUGUAGAGGUGAAAUUCGUAGAUAUUCGGAGGAACACCAGUGGCGAAGGCGGCUCACUGGUCCAUUACUGACGCUGAGGUGCGAAAGCGUGGGGAGCAAACAGGAUUAGAUUCCCUGGUAGUCCACGCCGUAAACGAUGAAAUGUUAGCCGUCG